UUACGGCCAGAUCAUGUUGAAACACAGGUUCCCACACGAUCAUCGAAGUUAAGCAACGUCUAGCCUGGUCAGUACCUAGAUGGGUGACCGUUGAAGAAUACUGGGUGCUAUA
rnacentral:rRNA from 1 species